UUUUGCUUCAAAAAAUAUCAUCACAAACCAUCUUCACACCCUCCUUGCAUCAAACAAAUAUCAUCAAGCACACUUCACUCAAUCAUCAUCAAAAAUAGAACAUAAAGCUCCCUGCAACUGAAACACAACAUCUCCAUCUAUCAUCUUCAACCAUCACAUCACGAAAACCACACAUAACGACUCAGAAACACAACAACAACAACAUUUAACAACGGCAACGGAACUGCAUGCAUUGUCAACAACUGAAGCUUCCCUCCGAUCAUCCACGUCCAAACACCACAGAGCACGCGCAAAAUACGACAGAGGAUGUGAGAUCAUUUUUGUUU
rnacentral:lncRNA from 1 species